GGGGCUAGGAAGGUCUGACUACGGUCCUACAAACACCGAUCCGAACGUGGUGGAAUACGUCGACCGUUAGGGCUGUCACUACCCUAAGGCUACCACAACAAUCCGCAGGAUUGGGUGCAAUUCCAGGUAAUUGCAAGACUAAACACCACGUCUAAUCUAUUAAUUACUACUCUAGCGUUAUAAAGACUUGAGCACUUGAUGCAAGCAGGAAUCCAAUAAAUAACUUGAAUGUAAACAAAAGUAAUUAAAGAACUCAGGAAUUAUGAAUUGAAGAACCUGGAGAACGAUGAAGAACGAACCAGAUGCUGCAAAAGUAUAAUGUUGAGGAAGAUCCGACAAAUCCGGCUCCUCCUCCUCCGCUCUCCUCUUCUCUGUCCCUAUUUUCUAGAUUACAACUAGAACUAACUAGAACUAGAACUAGAGGAACUAGAACUAGAACUAGAUGAACUAGAACUAGAUCUAGAUGAACUAGAGGUAGAACUAGAAGAACUAGAGGGAUCCUCUCUACUUGGAUGAAGAAUUGAAACCCUAACUUUGAUUCUGUAGAAGAGGUAUGAUCUCCAGGGGCCAGGGGGGUCUGGUUUUAUAGUCCCUUCAAGUGAAUCUGGGCCGUCGGAUCAAACCGACAUUGAUCGUGUGGUUUUCCUUGAAGUAUUAGGUCGGUGGAGCAUGAUCCCCGAACUUCACCCUGAUUGGUCCAGGGGGAGGGCGGGCGCCCAGUUAGGGAGGGCGGGCGCCCAGUGCCCGACUCCGUUACGUCUCCCGUUCGCUCCCGUGGCUUCUGGACUCUUCUAGAUGGUAGAUAAUUGUGCGGCACGUUAAUAUCUCUAUGUAAACCCGACGUGUGGGCCUUUCCUCCAUAUUUCCUGAUAACCCCCUGCAGAAAUAGACAAACACCAAAACUCGUGGAAUUCUGUCAGAUAAAACCUUAAGUCUAGGUGUUGGUUGCAUUUGGAUCCUUUUCUAUGAUUAAUUGAUGGUUAAAUAUGAGCAUUAAGGACCGUCAACAAGCUCCCCCAAGCUUAACCUUUGCUCGUCCCUGAGCAAAGAUGAACUCAAGAGUUUCUGCAGUGGUUUCAUAACUUAAAGAUACACAUGCGUUUAAACAAGAUCUCAUCUCUGGUUAGAGUAAACUGUUAAGACUUAAAACUUACUCAUUUACCUUUCACCAUGGGACUUGUAACCGUCACUUCUGUCUUGAGUAGUUAAAAGAUUGAACGGUCUAGUCAAACACCAUGUCUCUUAUUCUUGAUCAACUAUAGCUCUGGAGUUUUUGUAGAUUUUCAAAUAAAACUCAGAGAUUCCUUGUAUGACUCUCUCUAGUCUCUCUUUUGUAGUAUUUCUGGAUCCUUACCAAGGCAGUAUUGGUAUAUGCCUUCUCUCAAAGUAUGUGGUAUUUGUGGUAUAAGGCAUAGUGGCAUUGCCUUCUCUCUCACCCUACUCUAAUAAGGCUUUUGAUAUCUGGAGCUCAUAGGUGGGAGACAACUAAUACAUACUUACAAGACAUUUAUUGCAUAGUCAAACCAUGGAUCCAAAAGAACAAGUCAAUAAGUCAAAUCAAGAUGUGCAUGUGUGGCGAAUGAAUGGUGUAUGGUGAUGAUGGUGAUAACAAUGGUGAAAGUCUAAUUCUACUUAUGCUCUUUUGAGGGGAUACAUACCUUUCUUGCACUUUGAAGCUUUUUGAGGAGAAUGAGAUGCUCUAUGUUUUCUUUUUCUUUUCUCUCAGGUGGGUAUCUUGUACCCCUAAUUCUACUAUCGGACACUUGUCCUUUUUUACCUCUCGUCUCACUUUUUCUUUUCUUCGAGGUUCCGGGCACUUGCCCCUUUUUAUUUCCUCGUAUAUAUAUAUUUUUUUUCUUUUUUUUAGAGCACUCAUCUCAUGAGAUAAUAUAGCAAGUGGUAGUAACAAGAUAACUUGAGCAUUUAUUUCACAGGGGAAAAACAGGAAUAUUUUUGGCUAUUCUCUCCCGGAUUAGGAGUAGAAUAUUUUUGGGUGGUUCUGGAGAUGGAAAUGGAUAUAUAUAUGUGGAUGGUACUUCUGGAGUAGAAGUAGCAUGUGUGAGUGAACGUGCAAGUGAAUCUUGAUUUAACCACAUGACAAGCUCCUAAGGGUCUACACAGCUUGACCACACUCAAUGCUCAUAAGUAGUAAAAAGUAAAUGUGUGGCUCAAAGUCUAGCAAGCAAGUAUAUAUGGCUGUGGUAGGAAUUUAAACUCUUAUCAUACAGGAACUCAUCAUGUAACAUUUUAAAGAUUUUCAAACAUAAAAUUCUCCAGAAUUCUAGCAUCUCUAGGAACAGAUAAACAGCAGCUCAACCUUCCCAUAUCGUAUCCGUUAACGACUUAGACUUUAGAUCAAGUACUCUCCCCACAAGUUCAGGUUUAGAGCAAAUCUUAAUUAAUAACAGUGAUGCCUAAACUUGAGAGAGAUUUCAAUUUUGAGAACUAGUCAUGGCAGAGCAACUAUUCAUCUUUCCAUGUGAGAGCUUAUCAUGAGGGUUCAUAGCAAAUUUUAUUUAUUUAUUUAUUUAGCAAACUAAGCAAAGAUAUAUAUAUAAGCACAAAAUCUUUAUUUGGGUUUUUAUGAUUGUGCAUCUUUUUUAUUAUUUAAGUAAAGUAUAAACAUGAGUAGAGCACUUAGCUGGAUAAAUGGGGUUGCUCUCCCCCAAGCUGGGUUUUGACGUAAUUCCUUCUGAUGUAGCUAGCAGGUGGUGGAGGUGUAUUUGAAUGUGGCAGCACCCUGACAGCGAUUAGGAUGUCCUCCGUCUGCUAGUCUUCUUUGAUCCUUGAAUUCUGUGGAGCUCAAAUAGACAACAAAGCUUUGUGGAACUAGUUAAGUGUUAGCAUAAAUAUCUAGCCUUUAUCAUGUUGAGCCUCCUCAAUAAAUAUUACUUUCUUUGGUAGGAUCAUAAAUUUAUUUUUAUAUUUUCAUUUUUAUAGGACAGGAAUAUAUUUAUUUUAUUUUUUUAUGCCACCACAGUGAAUGUACUUAUGGGUUUUAUGCCAUGAGCAUACUCACAUGGGGCUUACUAUUUUUAACAUUUUUAUGUUCUUUUCAAGAUGAUAUGAAUAUGAUUAACUAAGCAAACUAUUUUAAAUAAUUGAAAGGUAAAAGAUAACUACCAAGUUUACCUCUUGGCAAGGCGUUCGGUGUUUUUACGUCCUCCGAACGGGACUCUCUGUUUUCUCAAUCGUCCUAGGAUUCGCUGGAUGGCGUAGUCGGUGGUUCCGGUGGAGCCUGCUCUUCAUGUAUAACUAUCUUCUCUGUCCACACUUGACUCGGUGCUACGGUCUCCUCAGGAAAAUUCUGUUCAAGCUGUAUGUCUUCAGACCUUACUACUUCUCCUUCAUAGUCUGCCCAUCCGUCCUUGAAAUUUGCCUCCUCUGGUUGCGGUUGCGUCGUCUUCUUCUUGUCCUGACCUGCUUAGAGUCUUCAACUAUAUAGUUAGGGUCAGUAAAACAGCGGCGUACCUUCUCAGAGGGGAAGUGCAUGUGGACUUCUCUGGUUCCAAUGUAGAUGAUUGCUUUAACGGUGCUGAGGAACGGUCUUCCAAGGAUGACGGGUGGAUUGUACUCAUCUUCUCCCAUGACAAUAACCUUACGGAAUGUCUGAUCUGCCAUUUGGAGCUGAAUGUAUGUCGGUUGUAGGGGCAUGGUUCCAUGCAGGAGCUGAUAAGUGACUGCGGCCAUUAUGUUGACGUUAGAUCCGGUGUCGUAGAGUGUCUUCUCCUUGAACUGUAGUGACCAUCUGAGCUGACUUGGUCCACAUUUGCUUGUUCCCGUUCCUCCUGUUGGUCCUCUUCCAUGGUUCAUGUCGGGAUUGCUCUGAGAUUUGUGUAGUCUUGUUCUUGAAGGAAAACGUCUCCUUCGUCCCCUUGAUGUAGAAACUGAUCUUGGCAGCAGUAGCGUAGAUGACAGCUCCCGAGGUGUUCAGGAAUGGCCUCUCUAGGAUGAUGGGUGCCCCCUCAUCAGAACUGGUCUCUAUCACUACGAAGUCUGCUGGGACGUACAAGGUACCAACUCGGACGUAGAGGUUCUUCAAUAUUCCCCUGGGCAUAAUGUUGACGCUGGAGCCAAAGUUGUAGAGUGCUUCUCGGAAGUCCGCCAUGCCGAUGGAGAUCGGGAUGACGGGGCGUCCUGGAUCGCCUCUCUUGACUGGCAGAAGGUCAGUAAUUACUUCCACAACGGGGUUACUCCAAUAGUUACGUCCUCAAGCAUCUCAGGGCAGUGAUUGCCUGAGUGUCCAGUAUCUCCAGUGUGUUUGUGCUCGUAGAUCUAGGUACUUCACUUGGUGGAGUCUGGGAGUUGUAAAAGUCCUGUAUAUUUUGCUCGAAGUGUACCUACUCAUAAAGACAAGGCAGAGAUCAAGUGCAUGGGCCCUGUUAGUGGAACACACCAACAGAACCAAAAGUGUAUUUGUUCUCUCUAACCUUAAGCAUAGUGAGCAAGACAAAGUUAAUGGAUAAUAAGAUCAUGAGUGUAACAUUUAAAACAUUUGUCAGAUCAGAUCGCUCAACCUAAUGGAAAGAUAAUCUAUCUAAGUAAAUGUUUUUUUCUUUACAUGACUAUCAUUUUCCAAAGAUUGAGUGUGCAACAUUUUAGUUCAUAUGAUUAGGAGUGUGGGAUCACAAAGAUGAAAGGACUAAACAUAUUGAAUUGAUUGGGUUGGUUAAUCUAAAGUUGUAAAUCAUAUAUGUUUGUCUCUUUUAUUCAUGUGAACGCCAGAACCAAGGAGAAGCUUUAUAAAAGUGAUAGUCAAGUACCUUAAGAUGUUACCUUACUUGAAGAGUGAUGGUACAGUAUCACCUUGUGGAAGCUUUCCUUUCUUAGCGGUUGUGCAACGUGUUUGUGGCACCCUCUAUGGAACAUCUCUUGAAAGCUAUGCUUUCCUUGUGUAAAUUGUUAAACUUCAUGUGUCUCUCUCUUUGUCUCCAAUGUGAGUUUAUCUCAGGACUUCCCAGAUCGAUAUUGAAAGUUUUCCUGCAGGGGUUAGUCCAACAAAAUAUCCAAUAUCUACUAUAGCAUACUAUCGGCUCAAAAAUCAACCUAGACACCAUGUCUAAUUUGAUUUAGGAGGGCAUUUUAACCUAAGCACCAUGCUUAAUUUAAAAUCCCUUGGAAGUAAGAUCAACAUUCCUAACUAAGCACCAUGCUUAAUUAAGAGAUAAAUGAAACUACACCAAACCUAGACAUAUACUAAAGCAAAUAGAGGUAGCAUGAGGGCAUUUAUAGAGAUCUACUCAAGUGGAGAUGAAGUAUUGUGAUUAGUAUUUAACAAAUUGAGCAUGUCUCAAAGGUAGGGACAACCAACAUAGCAACAUGGCAAAGGAUGUUUUUAUGUAAAGUACUCCCCCAAGCUUGAAUUUUGCAAAAUUCAAGUUUGGAUGAAUUUAAUUCAAUGUUGUAUGAUGAUUGGUUGUACAUACCUUGUGCUUGUCAUUCAUCCGAUCUUCUUGCUCCAAUCCUGGAAAGGUUAGUGACAAGAAUAUUCGAAGGAAUAUUUUUACAAUUAUCCUGAUAUGCUCAACACACAAGGUAAUGUUGCAAAUAAUUAAAAGUUUAUGUUAUGGUCUGAUCAGUGCUUAUUUUAGGACGCUAAGCUUGUCCUUGGGAAACCAUCAAUUUAUGUCAGUGAAGUGGUUUCCCCUCCAACGCUGAACUAUAUCAAGAUCAACCCAACGAGAUCUGCAAAACUUAUUAUAGACAUAUGCAUCGACAACCGCCCUUUUAAAGUUUUUAUGAAUAGAAAGGAAGAGGGGGUUGGAGAUCUCGAAUGUGGUGAUGUUGGAGAGACCAAUAGAUUGUGAAGAUGUUGCAUAUGAGCAUGGAGUAAAUGAAGUGGCUAUGAAAUAAAUUCCAUGCUCAUUAAUGCUUAGAGUGAAAUCCAUGUGGUAUGGUGAAAAUGAUAAGGUGAUUGUGGUAAAAAAGGAAAAUAAAAGGAUACACGGACGACUUGGUUCGAAACUAGCACAGCUACCGUUCCCCGGCAACGGCGCCAGAAAGCUUGUUGGGUAUUUUAAACGCAAACAGAAAAAUCCGCAAGCGCACGGAUACCGAUGUAGCUUUCACCCGGGAGUAUUCCAGAGUAUCGAUUUUCCACAGGGAACAUGAGUGUACUAAUUAAGAUCCAAGAUCGCCCAAGGAUAACUAUAUAAUUAUUUUUGGUGGGAAGAGAGGAAGUUUCCUGAGAGUUCUCUAGUUGAUCUAAGAAUCAAGAAUUACUUCAAGAUUAUCUAUAUCGGGACAUCAGAGCACUAACCACAGAAAGAGAUGAGAAGGGGGCUAGGAAGGUCUGACUACGGUCCUACAAACACCGAUCCGAACGUGGUGGAAUACGUCGACCGUUAGGGCUGUCACUACCCUAAGGCUAGCACAACAAUCCGCAGGAUUGGGUGCAAUUCCAGGUAAUUGCAAGACUAAACACCACGUCUAAUCUAUUAAUUACUACUCUAGCGUUAUAAAGACUUGAGCACUUGAUGCAAGCGAGAAUCCAAUAAAUAACUUGAAUGUAAACAAAAGUAAUUAAAGAACUCAGGAAUUAUGAAUUGAAGAACCUGGAGAACGAUGAAGAACGAACCAGAUGCUGCAAAAGUAUAAUGUUGAGGAAGAUCCGACAAAUCCGGCUCCUCCUCCUCCGCUCUCCUCUUCUCUCUCCCUAUUUUCUAGAUUACAACUAGAACUAGAACUAGAGGAACUAGAACUAGAACUAGAUGAACUAGAACUAGAUCCAGAUGAACUAGAGGUAGAACUAGAAGAACUAGAGGGAUCCUCUCUACUUGGAUGAAGAAUUGAAACCCUAACUUUGAUUCUGUAGAAGAGGUAUGAUCUCCAGGGGCCAGGGGGUCUGGUUUUAUAGUCCCUUCAAGUGAAUCUGGGCUGUCGGAUCAAACCGACAUUGAUCGUGUGGUUUUCCUUGAAGUAUUAGGUCGGUGGAGCAUGAUCCCCGAACUUCACCCUGAUUGGUCCAGGGGGGAGGGCGGGCGCCCAGUUAGGGAGGGC
rnacentral:lncRNA from 1 species